GGUACAAUCCAACAGCUUAGCCUUAUCCUCCAUCGAUUUUUCCAAAAAUUCAAUUAGAAAUCUCGAUCUCAUAUCGCUCAAAUUAGGUGAGUCGAAUUUGUUUCCUUAUAAAUAAACUCUCUAUCCCACUGAUUAGAGGUUGAACGCUAAGGGCUGGUCAAAAGCGAAAAACUCUAAAGUAAGUAAGGAAGUUUGGCUAAUAACUCGGAUACAUUCAUGUAAGACCGUUGACAGCUUAGGAUUUCGGCUAAAAAAUUAAUUCGAGUUUUCUGACGGUGGUGAAAGAUUCCGAUAAAGCUUGUAGUCUGCUUUGCUGCUUUGGAAAAGAAGUUGAACACUAAGGGCUGAUUAAAAGCGACAAAACUCCAAAGUAAGUAUGGGUGGUUUGCUAAUAACUAGGAUACAUCCAUGUAAGACUGUUGACAGUUUAGAAUUUCGGCUAAGAAAUUUAAUUCGAAUUUUCUAGCGGUGGUGAAAGAUUCCAACAGAGCUUGGAGUCUGAUUUGCUGCUUCCAAAAAGGUAAACAUAUUUUCUCGUUAUUUCUUUAGUUACUUCUUCUUCUUCUUCUUCUUCACGUUAGUAGCAAUUUUCAUCUGUCAUCAUAGUAAUAGUGGAAUUAUUUGCUGUAGAUAGACUUGAACGUCAUAGGUUUUUGUGAUGAAAGUUAUAGCUGAUGUAUUAUUGAUGUUCUGAAUUUUUUUGCUUCACAGUUUUGAUUUUACUUUCAUUUUGAUGUUGCUUAUUAGCUUCAAAUCUUCGUCCUUUGAAUAUUGUUUUUGUGUUGCUUGAUCAUUUUUCCUUAUUUAUCUAAUAUUUACUUAUUUUAGUCUUUCUUCUAGUUCACUGUUUUAGAUUGAGGUGUGCAGUUUCAAGUAUUUAGUUCAUUAUUUCAUCCUAUUGGUGCUUGUUAAUCUCUAACCCGCUAAUUUCGACAUUAAGUUCUUUCUUUUCCACAGUAUUUCUUGUUUCAAAUUUUAAUCUACUGUUAUAGAUCAAUUAGCAUUAUAUAGUGUGGCAGUCAUAAACUUCCAGUGUAUAUUAAUCCUUUGUUAGAGUUACUGAUAUUCUCGACAGUAAAUAGAAAUUAAUUGUGUUUUCAACUUUAUUAUAAUUGAAUAUACAUUAUUUUUUGUUUACUGUCUCAUGAUCUUUAAGCACAAUUUCAUAUUAUUUUAUUUGAAUUAGUUACCUUAUAUUCUGGAUAAAUAUUAACUUGCCAUUUUUUUUGUGGCAUGUGAAUUUGUUGGAGUCCAAUGAGACUUGCUACCCUUGAAUUUCUCUAACGAGCCAAGGGACCCACAUCCUCUUGAAUCAAGACCCAAUGCUGAAUUCUCAAAUGGAUUGAUAUAAUGUCAAUAUACGUGAUAUAUGGUGAUAUUGUGUACAUGUGCAGUAAGUUAAGGUAGCUGAGUUGCGAAUUUUGAAGAAUGAAAUGGACUAAGCCCAAUGAUUGAGAAGUUUGAUUGGACUAUUUUUGAGGGGUUUGGCCCUUGGAAGGCCUAAAUCCAAGAGUCCUCAAUCAAAAUAUACCCUGAAAUUAAAAAAAAGUAUCAAAAUAUAUUAUAUAUUUAAAAUAUUA